AUGAACACAAAGUAGACGUUGGCCAGGCGGUGGAACUGCUCGAAGAGGUUCUUGGGCAGGAAGGACAGUGCCGUGUACUUGGUGGUCUUGAGCCGGUUGCAGGCCAGGACCGUCCCCUUGGACUUCUCCGGCUCGGCCUCAGUGCUCCGAGACUGUGCUCAAGAAGCCUCUUACAAGCAGAGAAGACUUCAUUUAUAACUGAAAUCCUGGGACCUCUCGGCUGGAACGGAGCAGGCGGAUAACAGCGCCAGUAACACAGCUCAGCAGCUCUCUGAGAGAAACUGAAGAAUACCAGAUCUAAUGGAAGCAACAAGGGAUAGUUAACUACUGCAGCAAGAACCUAAUUGUUUAUGCUGGAGACUGGCCAGGACGCUAGGGUUAACAUUUCUUCUCUAACAAAGCACAUGCUGGGACCUUUAAAUGGCUACUGCUAGUUAUAAUUACCCCAAAUAAUACUGUCUAAACCAACUUUUACUAUCACAUCACAGUAUCAACUUUUCUAUUAUUAAUGCAGCCUUCAGAAUGGUCUUUUUGCAGUUUGCCACACAACAAAGUAAUUCACAGAAUGCUAAUAAAGCUGUACCCAAACUGCUUCAAAUCAGUGGAUUGAGCAUGAAAAAAGUCCAAAAUAAAUAUAACUCCUACUUUCAGAUGAGUUUUAUUUUUAGCAAAAUCUAAAAAUGUCACAAAAUAUAACUUGAGUAGAAAAAUAGUGCAAAUGGGUAGGUGGAUUUGGCUGGUGAAUUGAAUUUAGCUCUACUGUCCUGAGUCUGUAAAGAAAGAAAACAGAUUGAAAUUUCUCCUCUACUGUGUUGUACAGUGGCUGGAAAGAUUUCUAUAAACUUUGGGGAAUAAGGUA